GCGGCCGUCGGAUCCGAGGCAGCAACUUCGGGACGGAGGGGAUCCCCUGUCCGACCUCUUGCCUCCCUACCUGUUGAGCUGGGUGGGGCGCAGGGCUGGGCCCCAGACGCAGGGAAAAGUAUGGAGAAGCCUCCGCCGCCAUUCCGCGCUCCUUUCCUAGGCGAGCGCGCGGCUGAGGGGAGGAAAGAAAAGUGUGCGGGAACUUUUGGGCGCCCCGUUUGGGGGGUUAUGAAUGGCAAACGGGCACUUGGCGGUCUUCGGGAGCUCCUCUUAGUUGGCUUUGGGCUCCUGAGGGAGUUUCCUAAAACUGGGGGAAGGGGAGCGGGACAAUAGGCGGGAGGCGGCGGCGGAUGGGAAAGUAGUGGGAUUGUGGUGAAAGAACAGAGUUGCGCGACCCUCCUGGAAAUGAAGUUUAAUCCGCCCCCCGCCUCGGCACAGACCGGCGAGGUGUCCCCACACGAAGGUGGCAUGGUGCAUUUUCACAUGUUAAUGGUUUUUGGUCGACUUAUCGUGUGAGUGGCUUUAGGCGGCGGCGGAUUACAGCCUUAUGUCGGUGGUUGUUUCGAUGGGGGCAUAUAGUCUUAUAGGCGAAGAAUGUAUGAUGCGCUGGUGCAUCAUGCUUGAGACUGCAGCCUUGCACACUUGCAAGUACUGUAAUGACUCUCUCCUCCGGGUGCCAGCCAUACUUCCAGUAGCUAGCCAACAAGGAUUGCAAUUCCUGCUUCAUCCAGAACCGUGCCCGGAAAAGCGCUGGAAAGAUCACCCUUGCAUAACUAGUUAAGUUAACCACGCUGGUUGUGAGCAUGACAAAGGUAGCUAAAGGUCAAGAGUGGGUACUUUUAGAAAUCACAUGUGUUUAGGGUUACUACAGAGCACAAGUAUGCCGUGGCUGACAUAUGCAGUAAGAUGUCACCAAGCCCCUUCUUCUUACUGGGACUCCAUUUCCCAUCUGCAUACUUGGCAUGCGGGAAUGUAUGUACAGGGUCGUGGGUUUCAAACUGCAAUGGAACAUAGUAUAGAUGCAUGCAAUCCAUGCACAUGUUUAUGAACAGUAGUGUUGCUUCUAUAAGGACUGAUCAUGCACUCGGAAAAGGCAUAUCUAUGUAUUGACUGGGACAGGCACCCAUUUGGUUCUUUUGUCCUAUGCUGGGAUCCAUGAAUAGGUUAGUAUACAGAUCUAGCAGUUCUAAUCAGGAGGCUAUUUUAUUUGGCUGAUCAGCCACUGACCUUCCGAGCCUCUCUUCUGUGAUGUAGGCAGCUUUGCGCUAUUGCCAGAACAUGGAAUGCAAAAUAGGCAACCUGAUACAUUUUAAUGAAAUGGAUUCUAUUUUUAUAAGUGUGUAUGUGUUUGUAGUUGUACUUUCUGAUUUGUAUGUAGUAUAGACACACAAAAAUAUAACUUGUAUGUGUGCACAUGCUCUUAUAUCAACAGAAGUUGCUGGACCAAUAAAAUAUAUCCCAUUACUCAUUUUUUUUAUCAUUAUUAUAUCCUUACUUGAUAGUGUACUCUUACGGGAAACAACUUUUUUUAAAAAAACCUAGAGAAGUAAAUUGUUCUACAACAAGGGUUCCCAAACUGUGGUCCACAGUAAAUAUUAUUGUUGAUUUUUAAAUGUAUUUUUAUUGCGUCUUUUGUUUCUUGCAUUGUGUUUUAUUAUUUAUUCAUAGAAUCAGAAUUGUAUAAUUGGAAGGGACCACAAGGGUCGUCUAGUCCAACCGCCUGCAAUGCAGGAAUCUUGUUGUAUUUUAUAUUUUAUUUUAUGGAAUUAAAAUUGUGAUACAGUAAAAUGCAAUGAAAGUAAUAAAAGCAAAUUUAAAAUCAUACAGCAUUCUAUCUUGGGUAGAAAAAUUAAGUGGUCUGCCAAGAUUGUUGGCAGUUCUCCAUUGGUCCAUGGAGGAAAUGUUUGGGAGCCACUGUUCUACAACAUAGGGCUAUGAUCCAAAGAACUGCCCAAAUUAAGGAGUUCAUGCCCAAUAUGACUGGCAUUUUUCUCUGAAGAACAGUCACCACACACACUCAGAGGAAAUAUAUGGCAAUCAGUAGCGUGUGUCUCAAACUGGUUUCAAAGUGUGGCAUGGGGGACUGCUGUUUAGUGCAGAAUUGCAGCUUAUUUCUGGGCAUAUUGGCUUUGGGACUUACUUCCAUGUGACUUGCUCCUUAGUAAGUGUGCGCAAGAUUGAAACCUCAAUGUAAACAUGUUGAUCCCAAGCUGUUUGUACUAAAAAGGUCUUUGUGCACUUCUUUUGGAUAUACUCUAUUAUCAUCUUGUACUUUUUAAAUGUUUUAUGCUAGUGUGCUUUUGUUUCUUUUGUAACCCACUCCCAUGUAGAACUAUUACUUCCAAGAUAAAAGUGAAGGUCAUGUGUACUUGAAUAGGAGCAUUUUCUUGGAAACAUUGAAAACCUCUGCUUGGAAACAUGCACAUUCUUCAGGGAUUCAACAAUGCCAUAUAUUCACAGCUCUUAAAUUCAGGAUAAAGUGCUGUGAUUUGUAUGUCUAGACUUGCACACAAAAGCUCAUACCAAUAACAAACUUGGUCUCUAAGGUGCUACUGGAAGGAAUUUUUUAAAAUAUUGUUGUUGCAGUUCCAGCUGAGGUAUCCAAUGCAGUGUGUUCCCAUGCUCUGUGGGAUCAAUUUUGGAUUAUGCAGCCCAGUGAUGUGGACAGGUUUCAUGCAGUGAUGCAGUUCGCUUCUUGCACUCUUGACCUCUGUCCAUCCUGGCUGGUGAAAGCCAGUUGGUGGGGAGUGUUAACCGGAUAGAUCCAGGGUGUGGUGAACACAACUUUACUCAGUGGAAAGCUGCCUACUGCUGUUAAACACUCCACUUCAGAAUCUAUGGUUUAUAACAACUACCAUCUGGUUGCAAGUACCCCCUUUUUUCAUAAGGUAUGGUGAAAAUAGUGGUGGCUGAGAAAGCUGCAGCAUUUCCUGGAGAAUAUGAAUCAAUUAGAUCCAUUUCAGUCAGGUGCAGUUUUGGGACUGAAUCAUCCUUUGUUGCCCUGGUGGAUGACCUAUAUUGAGAGCAGGACAGGAGGAAUGCAACUCUUGCUUCUUGAUCUUUUAAUACCAUUCACAAUGGUAUCCUUCUGGACCAUCUCUGUGGGAUGGAAAUUGGGGCGCUGUUCUAUAGUAGUUCUGCUACUACUUACAGGGUCAUAUCCAGAGAGCAGCAUUAGGAGACUGUGUUUCAGCCCCAUGCUCAUUGCACUAUGGUGUCCCACAGGGUACAGUCUACUCAACAUCUGCAUGAAGCCAUUGGGUGUGGUCAUUCGGAGUUUGGGGGCAAAGUGUCACCAAAACAAUGGUGACACACAGUUCUACUUCUCUGUAACAUCUGAGUCACGCGAGGCUGCACAUGAUCUGGACUGUGUGAGCACAGUGGUGGAGUUGACCAGAAAGUUGAGGUUGAAUCCUGUAAAGAUGUCUUGGGAAUUGUCCAGUUGCCUGUCUGAAUGGGGUUGUACUCGCUGAAUGAACAAGUUUGGAGUUGUGGUGUGUUCUUGAGACUAUUUUUGUCACUGGAAGCUUGGGUAGCCUCAGUGGCUAUGAAUUCCUUUUUGCAACUAUGGCUGGUACGCCAACUACAGCCCUUAUUGGGCAGGGAUAGUCUGACCACAGUGAUUCAUGCAUUGGUAACCUCAAAACUUGGUUACUGUAUUGCAAUGUGCCCUAUGUUGAGCUAUCCUUGGUCUAGUAAAAGCUCCAGCUGGUGCAAAAUGUUGCAGCUAGGCUGUUGAUGGGGACAGGCUAUCACCAGCACAUAACUCCAGUGUUCAAAAGCUUCCACUGGCUGUCCAUACACUACUAGGCCAGCUAUAACUUGUUAUUGUAUUAAUUUAAAGACGUAAAGGUAAAGGGACCCCUGACCAUUACGUCCAGUUGUGACCGACUCUGGGGUUGCACGCUCAUCUCGCAUUAUUGGCCGAGGGAGCCGGCAUAUAGCUUCCAGGUCAUGUGGCCAGCAUGACAAAGCCACUUCUGGCGAACUAGAGCAGCACUCGGAAACGCCGUUUACCUUCCCGCUGUAGCGGUUCCUAUUUAUCUACUUGCAUUUUGAUGUGCUUUCGAACUGCUAGGUUGGCAGGAGCUGGGACCGAGCAACGGGAGCUCACCCCGUCACAGGGAUUCGAACCGCUGACCUUCCGAUCAGCAAUCCCUAGGCUCAGUGGUUUAACCCAUAGCACCACCUGUAUUAAUUUACAGAGCUCUUAAUAAUUUGGAUCUAGGAUACCUCAGGGCAGGGGUUCCCAACAAAAUUUUCUCAAGGACCCCUCAUCGAGCCGCUAUUGUGACAAGGACCCCUAUUAAUUCCCAAUCCUAAAAUUAAAAAGUGAGAGCCAAAUUAAGAGUCUUUUUAUAAGAGUCCAUGGAGGAGAGAGGGGAAUGGAGAAGACAGGGUACCUGCGUAGUAGCGCACAAAUGAAGCCGAUGCGCGCAAAGCAUCUUGGGGAGGUGAGCGUUAGUAGAAUGCGCACGCUGCCUCUUUGCAAAACAGUAGUGUUUGUAAAGCGCCACCUAACAGCAUACAGCAGAACUACUGCCUCAUCUAAUUCUAGUAGACUCUGCUCAUGCAGGAAGCGGCCAAAACAAAAAAUCUGUUAUCAUACGAAAUAUAUUUAAUAUAUUUUUUAUUCUAAUAGCAUCUUGCGGACCCCUCUGGCAUAGCUUGCGGACCCCUGGGGGUCCGUGGACCACCUGUUGGGAACCACUGCCUCAGGGACAACCUGAUUUGUUAUAUCCCUGCUUAAAUCACUGAGAUCUUUGCAGGAGUCACUGUUAGUGGUCCCCCACAGCUCAGAUACAGGGCCCAUAUCCACAAAGUAUGUGUUCAGUAUUAUGGGUCCAAUUUUGUGGCAUUCCCUUCCAAUUGAGGUCAGAAAGGCCCUCUCCCUGUUGCACUUCAUUUACUGAAGACUUUUUGUUCCAGCAGGCUUUUAAAUUAUGUUGUUAUUUUAUAGGUUUAAUUCAUUUGUAGACUUAUUUUAUUGGGUCUCCUGUACAUUGCAUAGAGAUGACUGUAAUUAAGCAGUAUAUGUAUUGUUGAAAUACUGCUGCUGCUGCUGCUGCUGCUACUACUACUACUACCACAACUAAUGCUAGCUAGCUAGCUAGAUCAGACAUCCCCAGACUUUGGCCCUCCAGAUGUUUUGGACUACAAUUCCCAUCAUCCCUGACCACUGGUUCUCUUAGCUAGGAAUCAUGGGAGUUGUAGGCCAAAACAUCUGGAGGGCCGCAGUUUGGGGAUGGCUGAGCUAGAUAAUAGCAAAGCAAUAGCUGUGUAAGGCUCUCAGCAAUGACUUGUAUCUUAAAUAUUUAUUUCUAUGUAGUGUUUUUUACCUAAUAAAUAUAUAUACUGUAUAUUAAAAACAGCAUGAGUCUGCAUGUUUUCCUAAUCUUUCUGUUUGAAGUAGUCCUUUACAUGUUUUAUAAAUAUUGCUCGUUCUUUAAUCUGGUCUGUGUUUAGCCUACAGCCUGCCCACCUGUGCAGAUCAGCAAAUUGUAGGAUUAGAGCCUCUUGUCUAACAAAAGGGAACAAAUGGUCUGUAUCGUAAAUCUUUCUGAGCAACUUUAGUGCAACAGGAAAAUCCGUAUUACGGAGUGAAGACUAACAAGUCAUGUGUUAGCCAGUACAAUCCUAUACAUGCGUGGCUACUCAGAAAUAAGCCCCACUGAAUUCAGUGAUGCAAAACCCAGGUAAGUGUAUAUAGGAUUGCAGCCCGAGCUUUGUAUAUUUUAAAAGUUAUAAAAUAAAGAAUUUAAGAUUUGGUUGUUUCUUCUCGUUCCUGCUUUACAGCUGAAUAAUGCCCAGGGUAAUGUUGUCAAGGCAAAAUGACUUUCUAGUUUAGAAUAUGUGUCAGUUUUCAGGUGGCAGAGUAAUGAAAACUACCUUCUGAUAACUUUGUCCUCUCUGGGUUUUAGUCCUGUAGUGUUUAAAAACAGUUUAGGUAAGUCCUAGUAGGGGUGAUAGGCAAUAGAGAGCACUGAGUGUCUCUUGCUAGUAUGCCAUGUGUGGUGUCCAUCUGACAACUCUUGUAUUCAACAUUAAUUUUAUUAAAGAAGUGCUUUAGGAGCCCUGUAAUCACUGGUUUAAGAAAGUAGUGUGCACCUUUAAGAAAAACCCGACAUUAGAUUUCACCCUGGAGGAAAGUUAAUAAUCCACAUUACCUAGUUAUAUAGUGCUGAUAUUUCAGCUUUGGUUGUGAAAAUACUGAAUAUGCUAUGUAUCUAAAUAGGCUCAAGGCUUUAUUUGCGGUGAGACACAGAGCUGCUGAACAUAUAAAGCUUUCUUAUACCAAGCUAGUUCACAAUUCACACUUAGCCAUGAUUCGUUUUCAACUAUUUACAGUAUUUAUUUUUUGAAUUUAUAAGCUCCCCUCCUCUCAAAGGAAACCACAGUGACAAACAGAUCUACAGUUUAAAAACAGAAACAAAGCAUUUACUCCCCCCCCCACAAACACUAUGACUUAACUGUCAAUGUGCUUUCUACCCCUUGCAAGGAUUUAACCUGUGGGUGUCAUGCAUGGCACAAAAAAGCCAUAAUAUGGCUUGUCGUGUUGCACAACCCUGGAUUGGGGUACCCCCCCCAACAAACCAAUGACCGAUAUGCCAAAAAUAAGCCAGAAAUACAGCUUACUUAUAGGGAGCGGGUGGCGCUGUGGUCUAAACCACUGAGCCUAGGGUUUGCCGAUCAGAAGGUCGGCGGUUCGAAUCUAUACGCCGGCUCCCUCGGCCAAUAAUGCGAGAUGAGUGCCGCAACCCCAGAGUCGGUCACGACUGGACCUAAUGGUCAGGGGUUCCUUUUACCUUUACCUUACAACUUACUUCUAGCUUAGCACUUGUAGUUUAUUUGGUUGUGCAGUGUGGCAAACCAUACUAAGUUUUGUUUGUGUCAUGCACGGCACCAAUGAUAGGAAGCCACACAAGGUGCAUUCACAGUUAAGCCACAGUUUAAAACAAACUAUGGGUUAGCAUGACAUACAAACCAACAUACUUUGUCAUUAGUCACUGUGACAUUGGCCAGUAUAAUUUUACUCUGUGACUUGAAGUGGAUCUCCAAGGUCUUGGUCAGAACUAUAUUUUUCAGUUUUGCUACCUGAGAUUAUUUACUUUCUUUUAAUUGAAAAUGCUGAGAGUUGAAUUAAAUAUCUUCCAGAUGAAACAUAUUAUCUACCACUGAACUAUCCUUCCCAUUGUGUUGACCUUAACUGUGAAUGCACCUUGUGUGGCUUCCUAUCAUUGGUGCCGUGCAUGACACAAACAAAACUUAGUAUGGUUUGCCACACUGCACAACCAAAUAAACUACAAGUGCUAAGCUAGAAGUGAUUUCUUCAGUGAUUUCUUCCCAUAGUAGCAUAAUUUUAAUAUCAAAAAACCUCAAAUGCUUAGUUUGGUCAAGUUUAGUUCUUAAUGUUAUAAUUUUACACUAGUUUAAAAGUAGACAAAGUAAUGUAAUUUUGAAAACCUUGGUCCUUGAAAACCAGCAGCUCAAAAAAGAAAAAGAAAAAAAGAGAGAGCCAACACUGAUUACCUGGUAUAAAAAAUAUAAAGCCAAGUAAAAUUUACAGCCUGGUCAUAAAUGCAUUUGCAUGUACAUAAAUCCAUUUCAGUGGCACUUAUUCCCAAGUAUGAUUAGACUUGUUUGUUUGGGAGUGUCCCAUUGAAACCAGUGAGAUUUGUUUCCAAAUAAAUGUGUUCCUGUUGAGGCAUAAAUUAAUAAGUGCAUUUCUUUACUUAAAUGAUUCUUCUAAAUCCAGAACCAGGUGCUGCCAUGAGCUCCUUCAUGCUACUAAACUUCUUUUGACUGAAUAUUAGCUAAGGGCUGGUACGAUGGACUGUAUUCUACAAUUAUCAUUAUUCCCAUCAUUACCUUCCUGGUAGACCUGCUUUCUCCUCAAGCUUGAUUUGAAUUAAUGUAUGUCCCAAUCCUUAGCAUAAUUUACUUAGAAGUAAUUAAAUCACUUACAUAAUGUCAUAUUGGGACUCAAUUUUUUUUGCCUUCUUUGGCAACAGCAUCAAGAGAGACAAUCUGCUCUGAUUAUCAUCUUGCAAGUGAAUCAGAUAUCUGGCCUUGCAUCACCCUCCCAGCUGCCUUUGGUGUAGCGGCUCUGAGCAUCUGCUAUGCUUUCACCUAGGAUGCUUGACCACAGAAGGGAAUGGAGAAAACUAAGAAUUUGAAUUUUGAAGUCAGUGACUGUUGUGAGAAAUUAAACCUCUGCAUUUACGUCAUUAGAUAGCACCUUGUGGGCGCAGUCACAAAACCUUUGUUGAAAAGAACAGUCAGUUCUAGCUGUUCAGAAGUUACAGUGGAGGUGGGUAAUAUUCUUGCAUCCACCAAAUACAAGAACUCUUCGGUCCUUUUGAUGCAGAAAGAGCCUUCAUUUGGGGAGCUUAACUGUCCUAUAGAUAAAAAGAAUUCUUUAUCUAUUAGUGUAUUAUCUGGCUAGACCACAUCUACUCUUGAUAAGUAGGAAUACUCCCUCUGUCAAAAUUGGAAAUGCUUCCAGCUUGUAAAUGUUCAGUUGUAUAUUUGACAUGUAGCCCACAAGCUUAUUCUAGAACCAAGUCCCUAUUUGCCUUCUGGUAUGGAACAGUGUAUAAUCUUUAUAGCAAAGUGGUGAUGUGAAGAAUGCAAAAUAGAAUGUUGCAAGUCCUACACAUCAUAAAAUGGCAGGUAAAAAAGAUUCAUAUUGGCGGUAACUUACAUUAAUGAACAAAUUUGUCAGAGUUGGUAUAGAAUUGGUUUCCUGUGCUUUUAAUAAUUACAUAGAUGAGGGAUUAUGUAAGGAGCAGCUUAAGUCUUCUGUGCAGGUAUUAAAGGUACAGUACCACUAAUACUUGUUGAAUCUGGGUGCCCAAGCUGAUGCAAUAAGGCUUGGACAAAUUCCUGGUGGAAUAUAAUGCAUACUUGUUUGACAAGGACUUGGUUUCACAGCCUCUGAAAUUUAAAAAAUAGAAUCCUUUGCAGAUAGACACUGAGUAUCUAGAAGAUUUCUACCGCCAACCUCAUAAUGUAAGUUGAUGCAAAACUAAUCAAAUUGUGUGUGUGUUUUCCUGAAAUGCAAUUGAAAAUUUGAAAAAUAAACACAUUUUUUAUUUAAAAAAUGUAUUCCUCCGUUGCCUCUUCCACAUAUCCCUUAGUAGUCCCCCAACUUUUGCCUUUUUCCUGGUUCACAAUUAGCUGUCAUUAGAAUACAUACAUUUUCCUAAUGCUUUAUUUGGUCUUAAGUGUCUGUUGCCUCACUGGAAUAGUGUCUUGUUCUAACAUGCAUAGCCUACUGCAUGAAAAUCCCCUUAGGGCCUUAGGUAGUCAAAACAGCCAGUAAUGUCAUCCUUUAUAAUAUAAAUUAAAACUAGGGUAAACAUGAUGAUCUGGUUCAAUCUGCGUUUAUGAAAGGUUUCUGUGUGUAAUUUUUUUAGGAUGGUCUACUACCUGGAGGUUUUUAAUGCCUCAUUAAACUCUCAUGUGUAAAUUAACCUUAUAUGCUUAAAUUGGCUUUUUCAGCAGGAAUAUAAAAUUAUCUUUGCAUUUAUUUCAAGAACAGAAGCCUACACACAGUGCAUUUGUAGGUGUCAACUAUUCUUGCUAGGCUGCAAUCUGAAAAUCACUUUCCUGAGUGUAAGCAACUUUGAAGACAUUAGGACUUAACUUUCAAGUAACAUGCAUGGACUUGUAGCAUAAUAAAUUUCAGGGUGCCACAAGACCCUUUGCUGGUUUUGCUCCAACUGACGGACAUGGAUAACCCCUCUGGAAAUUAUUUGCAACUAAGUAUCAUUAGGGAUAAUUGCCCAUUACCUUCUAUGUAAAAGUAGGCAAAUACCUGUACAAUUUCUCAGUCUCUGUAGGAAAUUGUUUGGAGCAUAGCUGCCAAGUUCUCUCUUUUUUUAAGGGAAAUUCCCUUAUGCUGAAUAGGCUUCCUCGCAAGAAAUGGGAAAACUUGGCAGCUAUGGUUUGGAGGGGGAACACCUCUAACUUACUGUACUCUCUUUUUCCUUCCUCCUUGCAUUGAUCCAGCUGUCCCUCAUUUUAUAUAUUAAUUCAUCUAAAAUUGCUCCUUUCUCCUUCUGUACGUAGAAACAGUAAUGCAGAUUAGAACCUCAAGGCAACCCAUAAGCAAGGAUGGAAAGGACUUCCUAUUUUAUCACACUGAGGGGUUUUAAGUUUACCUGCAUUAGAUGUUUUGCUAUGAAACUAAAGGUACCUUAUUGACCCAAUUAACUGGUCAGUUAUUUUAAAGUAUUGCAAGCUUUUGAGCCAAAAAAGGCCUUAAGUCAUGGAUGUUUCAAUGAAGAGUUAAAUAAGGUUUUCCUUGUGGGUGAUUUACCUCUGCGGUGCUAAACUGGAAGUGUUCAUGAGGUGGAAGCAUUAUUUAGCAGAGAUAACAACCAGGGAAGAUGUUUUUCAACCACAAUACCUCUUUUAGCCUCUUCCAUCUACACAGAUCCUGUAUUUGUGGCUAGUAGUCAUUAGUUUGAAGAUUGGCACAACCCAUGCGGUGUCCAGUUAUAGAUAUAGAAUCUGUGGACCUGAUAUUUGUAAAAUGCUUCAUCUGGUGCCAGUUGACGAAGUUUAGAAGCAUUGCAACUAUGUGGCUCAGUCCUAUUCUCAGACUUAUUCUGGGUAUUUAAGGCAGCUACUAUCUGCCAUCCUCUCACAUGUAGGUAGAUGUUUUCCACAGUCUGCUGUGUCAUUAGUGCACUAAGGUACAACUAAAAAUGUACAGCAAGAUUGAUGAUAGUGUACAGUACAAAUGCUUCCCGUGGAUUCAUAUUUGAGACGCUGUGUUCUUUUUUGCACAGUGUACAGAAUGUUGUAAAGGAAAGAUUGUUGCUGUGAACAGAAAAGCAGCUAAUAGAAAUUUAUUAUUGUGAGAGAUGCAGGUAAGUUCACUGGAGAGGCAAGGGCCCUAGUUAAAGAGUAAAAGGGGCUUAUGCACAAAUUCUGCCUGCUACUUGUCUGUCCACUACUGCUCUGCUCAGCUACUUUUUUUCGCCAUCAAGUUACUAUUUCCAAUAUCAGGUCCUGGCAGGGCAGUCUUGAGCAGGUCGCGCACCCUGGUGCUGAGGGGCGGAGAUCGCUCUGGCGCCCCCGCCCUCACAGGGCGCAGCAUGGUUUCCACGCGGCGCCCUGCCUACCGGCCCGGCGCCCUUACACACUGCACCACCGGGGGUCUACCUAGAGCCGGUCCUGGCCUGAGGGAAAGUCCCAGGUGGAUGGCCUCUGACAAAAGUGGGAGAAUGCUAGACACCCUCUGCCAUGUCCCACGUUUACAUUUUAAAUUGAACCCUACUCCUGCUUUAUACGUGGUUGAGGCAAGGCCUCCGUUGAAAGAUGUGGCUGCUAAUAUUACAUUUUAUUUUGGGCCCCUUCUUAGUAUUUAGCUUACUAAUUAGAGCCUUUCCAAAUUUUUAAAUGUUUCUGAUAGUUCCUUUUAGAAACUUUUCAGUAAGAUUCUAUCUCUUUCAGACAUACUACAACUUGGAUUUAGAGCCAUAGUCUGGAAAGCAUUGCCAUUUGGGACUUCACACUGCAACUGAGAGAAAAUCCUGAAAGAACUAAUUCAGAGUGACUUACUUUCUUUAAAAGCAGUUGACUGGAAUAUGGUUUUUGAAGGAAGCUGGCUUUCUCUUGAGUUCUGUUUCCUAUCAUUGCUUUCUCAUAAAAGCAGUGUGUGAAGUCAGAGUUUCCACUUGCAAAACAACAAAAUUUUACAUGUUGCUGAAAGCCAGGGGCCCUAAAAUCCUCCAGUAACAAAACCCACCAUUUCCUUCAACCUCAGAACCCAAUUCUGCGAUUGUAAUACAGUAAAAUGUGUGUGUGUGUGUGUGUGUGUGUGUGUGUGUGUGUGUAGUCCCAUGUGUUUCUAUGUAUUAUUAUUAUUUUAUUUAUUAUUAUUAUUUAUACCCCGCCCAUCUGGCUGGGUUUCCCCCACCACUCUGGGCGGCUUCCAACAAAUAGCAAAAUACAUUAAAAUAUCACAGAUUAAAAACUUCCCUAAACAGGGCUGCCUUUAGGUGUUUUCUAAAUGUCAGGUAGUUGUUUCACACAACUUUGUAGGUACAUCGUUCUGGUUUUAUAGAAUGUAGAAAUCUAGUUUGAGCUUCUGAGAAAAACAUGGAAAUAAUAUAAUAGCAUGGACACAGGAGAAUUUGGCGUGUAGUCUUUUGUAGGAUGCUACUAGUGCUAAGUGAAGAAUCUCCUGCAGGCUUCAUUUCUCUUCUGUGGCAUAACAGAGAGCAUUGUUAAGUGUGGUUAAGUGUCUUUAACUCGAGGGUGAUUUAAGCACAUUAACUGUGCACUUGCUUAUACCUUUUUUUAACUACUGUAUGUAUUUUUAGAUGGCUCCAGGUUUAAUCACUUAAAGCUUUUUAUUUUGUAAUCCAUGAUAGCAAAGUUUUAAUCAUUUAGUUAAAAGCACAUGGGUAUUUUAGACUAAGUUGAGGAAAUAAAAGUGUGUACAGUACUCAAUAAGGGAUGUGGGUGGUGUUGUGGUCUAAACCACAGAGCCUAGGGCUUGCCGAUCAGAAGGUUGGCGGUUCGAAUCCCUGCAGUGGGGUGAGCUACCGUUGCUUGUUCCCUGCUCCUGCCCACAUAGCAGUUUGAAAACACCUCAAAGUGCAAGGAGAUAAAUAGGUACUGCUCCAGCGGGAAGGUAAACGACGUUUCCAUGCGCUGCUUUGGUUCGCCAGAAGCAGCUUAGUCAUGCUGGCCAGCUUUAAGCCGGCUCCUUUGUCCAGUAAAGCGAGAUGAGCGCCACAACCCCAGAGUCUUCCACAACUGGACUUAAUGGUCAGGGGUGCCUUUACCUUUACCUUUACCUUUACAGUACUCAGUACUUCAAGUCCUCAAGACAGGCUCAUCAAGGGCUGCAUUAUCAGUGACCUUGACAAGUCCAUGCACCUGUGGAGGUUUAGCAUUCUGUUUUGCUGGGAUCAAGGACUACUAUGUCUCUAAUUAAAUGGUGUCAUCUCACCCCUUGCUUUUUCCUGUAAGACCAAUUGCAGUCGUUAACAGUCAACAGGUUUACCACACCUGUCAGCCAAUCACCCAUACCCACCACCCUUCUGAGUAAUAUCCCUCCCCGCCCUCUCACUACCGGUAUAUAUAAGGGUCUGGUGACUUCUGUUUCAGUGUAUCUGAAGAAGUGUGCAUGCACAUGAAAGCUCAUACCAAUGACAAACUUAGUUUGUCUCUAAGGUGCUACUGGAAGGAAUUUUUUUAUUUUGUUUCGACUACGGCAGACCAACACGGCUACCUACCUGUAACUAGGAAUCCUGUGCAAAGCCACCUUCCUGAAGCAGACCACACAAAAUUCAAUAUGUGAUCCUGGCAGUUGGGGUCAAAGAAUUUCGGCUGCAUCCCAGGCGUGGGGAACCAUUGACCCUCCAGUUAUUGCUGAACUACAAUCCCAGCCAUCCUUGGCCAUUGGCCAUGCUUGCUAGGGAAGAUGGGAGUUGUAGUUCAGCAACAUCUGGAGGGCCAAAGGUUCCUACACUUGCUGUCACCACAUGGUUAGAAUGAAAGACAUGUUGCCAUUGUGCUUGAAAUAAAAGUGGUUUUCAGUACGGUAUGUUGCUGAGUUUUCCAGUAUAAUCUCACAAUGUUAUUUUGAGCUGGAAGCAUCCUUAAACGGACUGUGCAUUUGUGAAACCCAAAAGGGGGAUUGGGGAAAAAAGUGCUUGUUUGCAUAGGUUUUUUAGCCCUCCAAAAGGGCUAAGUUGUAUUGUUAGAGCAGAUUUGAAAAGAAAGAAAAGAAAAAGAAAAAGAAAGGGAUAACUAAAGCUAUUAGUUUGACAGGGUUAUAUGGUUGUGUAAUUAGGAGCAGUGGUCUGUGCUAGGAGACAUAAUCUUAUUAAGCCAGCCAGGGACAAACCUGCCAGCAAAGACCUAUUUGGUCAUACCCAUCAGACUCCACUGAAACUUAGCAACUGCAAUUAAUCUCUCUGCACAAGGAAGCUGAAGCUAUAAAAGGGAAUGUGUAGUAUCUGCUAGGAAACUGCUGUGGGUAAAAUGUUGUACGUGGGGCUGCACCCCACAAGAAUGAAACAAUAGCAGUGAAUGUUUAUUUAGUGAAAUGGUGGUCUGAUCAUACAUCAAGAUAUCUGAAAUACAUGGCAGUUGGCACCAAGGCCCUUUGGAUGAGGUGUAGAGUUCUUUAACAGCUUGCCAGAGAUUUCACAAUAGCCAGCAAAGGUUUAUUUUGGCUUAACACAGCAGGGAAAAUGUAAAUUUAGGGCAGUAUGCCACUCCAAAAAGCACAUAGAGAGAACUCAAAGCUCAUUUUUUAAGUAAGUCAAAAAUAACUUACACUUCUUUUGCCUUAUGGAUUUGGGACACCGUUUUCUUAAAUGUAGUAGAUGAAAGGAGAAUGUUAAAAGUUAGGGGGAGAAGCAAAAUUUUAAUGGGGCAUCAGUCUCAAAUGACUAGGUUUAUGUGCAGCUCAAUUAUAGAGAGGAAAAGAUGCAAACACAGAUGUCACAGAGUAGAGUGUCGUCUAGAUCAGGGGUUCCCAAACUGUGGUUUGGAAGCUUCAUUCAGGUGGUUCAGAUUGAGUCAGUGAAUUUGUGGUUGUGGCUAAUCAUCAAUAUUUAUAUUGAUUUUUAAUUGUAUUUUUAUUACUUCUUUUAUGUUGUAUUUUAUGGUAUUAAAAUUUAAUUUCUAUGUAAUUCUGUGUAAUCAUCCAGCAACACAGUUGCUACAACACAAAGAUCAAUAAUUAAGUAGUCCACCAAGACACUCAGCAGUUUUUAAAUGGUCCAGACAUAGCUGCCAAGUUUUCCCUUUUCUCGCGAGGAAGCCUAUUCAGCAUAAGGGAAAAUCCCUUUAAAAAAGGGAUAACUUGGCAGCUAUGGGUCCAAAGGGAAGAAAGUUUGGGAGCCACUGAUCUAAAUUUUUCAGCUGAAAUGCUAAAUUAAGGGCAGCACUAUUCAAAACAAGGUAAAAUGGCCUAGAGUGUCUUCUAAGGUUGCUAUUACAUUCAUCCUGCAGCUAUCACAAUUCAGGGGAAGUAUUCUGACUGUGUUGGAAUCCCACAAUCUGUACAGUCUGAAGUCAUCCCUUCUGUUUGACUACUUAAUGGAAUAACAAAAGACUAAUACGAUGCAAAAUCAUGCAGGAACCCAACUUAUUAGACUAAUAAAUUAUUUUUCUUAAUUAUUUCUGACUGUACAGGUAUAGAUAGAGAGUACACCAGGAAGUCCUCUACUGUAUUUUAUGCUCUUUGCUUAAAUUACUGUGGCUCUGGUUAUAUGUAGGUUCAUAAUUAAAUCUGCUCUGCAGUUGUUUGUCAGACUAUUUUUGUGGACCUUGUGCAAACCAGUUCUUCCUGGUCUAUGGAUGCACCACAAGAAAUAAGAUUCCUUAUAAAUAUGAAAAUUAGGCUGUGAUUGCAGCCGUGUUGCAGGACCGUCUUUUGUGUCAGGUGUGCAUAAAGACUAAUUUCAUCUUGCUGCUAUGUAUAGAAAUACUUUGUUUGAACUCCCAAGUGCAAAGGUUUUUUUUGUUCUUCACAGACAGCCCUCUGGUGCUAAACACUAUUUCAAGAACACCAUGCAACAACACCUUGGGAUCUAGUUAUAUUUCUGUAGAUUAUUUAUAGAAUAAAAGGGCUUGUAAGGGUAUUGGGUCAUCUGUCUCAUUCUUUGAGACAGAUUAAACCAUUCUUAAUGCUAAUCUAGCUUAAUUGAACGAUCCUGUUUUGUUGCCUCGAUGGAAGAAUCUUGUUCUGUUGCCCAUCUGCCCUUUCCAUAAUGUUUAUUGUUGCCAUAAUGCAGGGGUCAGCAAACUUUUUCAGCAGGGGGCCGGUCCACUGUCCCUCAGACCUUGUGGGGGGCCGGACUAUAUUUUGGAAAAAAAUAUGAACAAAUUCCUAUGCCCCACAAAUAACCCAGAGAUGCAUUUUAAAUAAAAGGACACAUUCUACUCAUGUAAAAACACCAGGCAGGCCCCACAAAUAACCCAGAGAUGCAUUUUAAAUAAAAUGACACAUUCUACUCAUGUAAAAAACAUGCUGAUUUCCAGACCGUCCGCAGGCUGGAUUUAGAAGGUGUUUGGGCCGCAUCCGGCCCCCGGGCCUUAGUUUGGGUACCCCUGCCAUAAUGUUUAAGAUUGGUUGCUGUCUUCUGCAGUCUUAGCUUUCUUCUUUGAUCUCAGCGGUUAUGGACACUUUCUUUCUCCAUGUUGCCUUCCCUCCAAGCUGAAUCUAUAUUGUGCCAGAGAAAAAUCACACUAAUGUUCCAUGUAAUGUUCCAAAUAAUGUUCCAAGUAAGACAGGUGUGUACAUAAGGCUAUGUACACACUAAAGCACACAACUUACCCCAAAUAAUCUUAGAAAUAGCAGUGUGUUAAGGGUGCUAGGAAUUGUAGCUUUGUGAAGAGUAAACUACAGUUCCCAGAAUUCUUUUAAAGGUGCUUUACGGAGCCAUAAAAUAUCCUGUUUGCUUUAAAGUUGAUUGAUUUGCAUGUUUGAAAAUGUACAUUUUCAAACAUGCAAAUCAAUCAACUUCAAGCAAACUUUGGGGUAAGUUGUGUGCUUUAGUAUGGAAUGUACCACUUGCAGAGUGGACAUCUGAAGGCAGCCCUGUUUAGGGAAGCUUUUAAUAUCUGAAGGACCAUUGUAUUUUAAUAUUUUGUUGGAAGCUGCCCAGAGUGGCUGGGGAAACCCAGCCAGAUGGGUGGGGUAU